rnacentral:lncRNA from 1 species
UUUCCUCACUCAGUAGACUGUUUGCCUUCCUCCUGGAAUCAAGAUAACUGUGCUGUGAAAAGUGCUGGAGUCCAUCUCUGGUGGGGUUCUGGAACCUGAAGACAGAUGUGUGGUCUCCGCAAAAGUGAGGACUCUGACUACCUGUUAGACCUUUCAACCAAGUGGCACUGAAUAGCUCGAGUCAUCUUUCUUUAAACAAUCUUUCUUUAAACAAUCACAAGCCUGCUCCCAGGAGCAGUGAUAUCAUUGGUUAUUCUACUUAAUGAAAUCAUAACAUCAGCAUUAUAAAAGCCCCAUCACUGUAAAAGCCCCCAAUAGUUUUCCUUCCUCCUUCCCAUCUCCUGCUAUCGAUUGAGGAAUGUAAGCUCCAGGGAUGUGGCAGACAGCAUCUGGUGUGCUCCAACUCAGAGAAGCCUUCGUGCAGCAAAAAAGAUGUUACAGAUAUUUCCCUUAGCAAACAAGGAUCAGAAACUCUAUACACAAUGCAGGAUUUUCACAUGCCUCUUUCUGCUCAUUUAUGAUAC